rnacentral:rRNA from 1 species
CCUACGGGAGGCAGCAGUGGGGAAUAUUGGACAAUGGGCGAAAGCCUGAUCCAGCAAUACCGCGUGUGUGAAGAAGGCCUGAGGGUUGUAAAGCACUUUCAAUAGGGAGGAAUACCCAUUAGCUAAUACCUGAUGGACUGACAUUACCUAUAGAAGAAGCACCGGCUAACUCCGUGCCAGCAGCCGCGGUAAU